UAUUGGUCAAUGGGCGCGAGCCUGAACCAGCCAAGUCGCGUGAGGGAGGCCGGCCCUACGGGUUGUAAACCUCUUUUGCCGGGGAGCAACGGGCGUCACGUGUGGCGCCACUGAGAGUACCCGGAGAAAAAGCAGCGGCUAACUCCGUGCCAGCCGCCGCGGUAAUACGGAGGAUGCGAGCGUUAUCCGGAUUUAUUGGGUUUAAAGGGGGCGUAGGCGGAUUUGUAAGUCAGCGGUAAAAAUGCGGUGCUCAACGCCGUAUCGCCGUUGAAACUGCAGGUCUUGAGUGAGCGAGAAGUAUGCGGAAUGCGUGGUGUAGCGGUGAAAUGCAUAGAUAUCACGCAGAACUCCGAUUGCGAAGGCAGCAUACCGGCGCUCAACUGACGCUGAGGCACGAAAGCGUGGGGAUCGAACAGG
rnacentral:rRNA from 1 species